rnacentral:lncRNA from 1 species
AUGGGGGCCCUGCAGGAGGGCUCAGCUGCCAUGUGCCAUGAGCAGAGCGGGCCACAUUCCUCCUGAGCAAGCGACGGAGCAUCACCGGAGCACGAGUGGAGGAGCAUCACUGUGAUCAUGGGGAGCCUCAGCUCCCAAGGACCACUUGGGAUGGCCAUGCAGCUGAAGCUGAUGCUGCAACUCAGCCUGGUCUCAAUCGUGCUGCACUUCCGGCGGCUGCAGAAGUUCUGUCGGAGGUUGGGGAAGAAGAGGAGAGAGACGAGCACCCAGACAGAGGAAGGGAGAGAUGCCUGCUGGAAGGAUGGAGCAGCGGGGAUGGCAUCGCCAACCUGGGAACUGUGGACGAGCCCAGAAGAAAGGAGUACGAAGCUCCCCCGGGCCCCGCUGGCAUCCAUGGUGUCCCUGGGCUCCCUGGCUGCUUCUUCUUCCUCUUCCUUUUCCUCCCUGUACUCCUUCCCGGAGCCCUGGCCUGGUGCGCUGGCAGAGUUGGCUGCUCUUGUCCCUCGGACUGACCCAGAACAACAACCAGAGCCAGAGCCAGAGCCAGAGCCAGCCCUGUGCCCCAGCCCUGAGCCCCCGGCUCUCCUGGCAGCAGCCCCCAGCCCCCUUCACUCCCUGGGGUCGAGCAAGCAGAGCUCUCCCAGGGAUGGAGCGCAGAGCCCCAUGGAGCCCCACUGCUCCCACACGGAGCUCAUCCUGGAGCUGCUCCGCGUCGUCCGGGAAAACCAGGCAGCCGUUGAGCGCCGCUGCCAACUGCUGCGGGCACUGCUGGAGCGGCAGGAAGCGGCCGAGACCCUCAGGGAGCCCCCAGCCCAGGAGCGCCCAGCCCAGGAGCCACCAGCACAGGAGCCCCCCAGGAUCCAUCUGCGUGUGCUUAUGGAUUUCCUUAGUCCUGGGAUGUGGCAGCUGCUGGAGAGGGACACGGGCAUGGAUAUGGACAUAGAUGUGGACACAGAUAUGUACAUGGAUACAGACAAGAACAUGGACGUAGAUGAGCGCAUGGAAGAGGAAGCUCAUGGGAGCGCCCCAGAGGAGCUGGACCAGAGCACCCUGAUGGAUCCAGGCAGGACCAACCCAGCAGGGUCCCGCUGGGGUCCCACGCGCACGGCCCAUCUGCGGGUGACCCCGGGGCUGUGCGGGGCCGGGCAGUGCCUGCAGGAUUGCUGCUCCAGGCUGUGGCGGUGGGUGCAGGACCGCUGGAGGCACUGCCGUGCACAGCCCUUUUGGCAGCGCUGGUCCUACGUGGGGAGGAAGAGCCUCUGA